rnacentral:sRNA from 1 species
GUGGCAUAAAAGUAAAUAUUCCGGAGACGCCUUUGCCUAGCCCACGUGCAGAUGUGUCACGCAGGGACCCUCCUGUAUGGACGAGUAGGCCAAGUACUAGCUCAAGUGUUGUAUCAAGUACUAGCCCAGCGCCGCCCAUGCUUACAUCUGCUACCAGAAGACGUCAGGCGACUCUCACAGCCAAGU